rfam:Schistosoma curassoni strain Dakar, Senegal genome assembly, scaffold: SCTD_contig0005521
AUGCAGCUGAAGAGUCGUAAAUAGGACGAAGUGGCGCGCGUUCUGGAU